UACAGAGGUCUCAAGCGUUGUUCGGAUUCAUUGGGCGUAAAGCGCGCGUAGGCGGCUAAUUAAGUCAAAUGUGAAAUCCCCGAGCUUAACUUGGGAAUUGCAUUCGAUACUGGUUAGCUAGAGUGUGGGAGAGGAUGGUAGAAUUCCAGGUGUAGCGGUGAAAUGCGUAGAGAUCUGGAGGAAUACCGGUGGCGAAGGCGGCAUCCUGGACCGGUAUUGACGCUGAGGCGCGAAAGCUAGGGGAGCAAACGGG
rnacentral:rRNA from 1 species